rnacentral:rRNA from 1 species
CUUUAAGUUUCAGUCUUGCGACCGUACUCCCCAGGCGGCAAGCUUAACGGCUUCCCUGCGACACUCCGAUCGCGAUUUGCGACCGGAUCAUCUAGCUUGCAUCGUUUACGGCUGGGACUACCCGGGUAUCUAAUCCGGUUCGCUCCCCCAGCUUUCAUCCCUCACCGUCGAGCGCGUUCUGGUGGACCGCCUUCGCCACUGGUGGUCUUCGACGGAUCAAAGGAUUUUACCCCUACACGUCGAGUACCGUCCACCUCUCCCGCCUCCUAGUCCUGCGGUAUCCUCUGCGGGCCAACGGUUAAGCCGUUGGAUUUGACAGAGGACCUACAGAACCGGCUACGGGUGCUUUAGGCCCAAUAAUCGUCCCGACCACUCGAGGAGCUGGUAUUACCGCGGCGGCUGACACCAGACUUGCCCUCCCCUUAUUCAUCGGCCUUUU